ACAUUGUAUAUAGCUUAUACACGGUAUUAGGUAUUAGAUGGUAUCCUAAUCUUCUCUCUACACACAAUAAUAGCCGCCAUCACAAAAUCGAAACCCUAUUCUUUUCGUCUCCUUCCUACACACAACACUACUCACCAAAUCAAAGCCACCUGAGACGGACCCUAAAACUUCAAUCAAGAUUCUAGGUUCUUGCAAUGGAUUAGUAUGUUUAAUCGAUGGCACACGUGACAUAAUCAUCUAUAACCCAUGAACCAGAAGACAUUUCAAGCCAUUUCAAUCACCUCAACAAGUUCUUCAUUGCUCAAACCGGAUCGAAUUCGUGUAUGGAUUUGGGUGUGCAUCAAAAAACCCUAAUCGACCAAGCAUAUAGUGAUGAGCGUCCAUCACUACCUCCUUUGCGCAAAUACCUGAUCCACGUCACCUGCCAAGCUUCCACCUAUGUCGUCGGAGUAGCCGGAUGGGCCACCAGACUAAAACUCAGCAGCGAAUCUGUCGGAAUCGAACCAUUCAGGAGUACAUUCGUGGAACAAGGUGCCCCUUUCUCUUGGCACCCAUUUCGUCAUUGUCUUCUUCUGCACGAACCUCUCUCUCCUCUGAAACUUCUCCAUCACUCUUGCUUCUCAAACACACUUAUUUAGGGUUUAUCUUUCAUUAAAAUCAUCACUGCAGAAAGUAGCAGGAGCUUAAGAACACGAGAAUGAGUGUUUCAAAGUUCAUAAAAUCGUCUCUGUUGGUGAUGGAGCUGUUGGCAAGACUUGUAUGCUCAUUUGUUACACAAGCAGCAAGUUCCACAUUGUAAAUCUUUCUUUCUCUGUAUAUACAUACAUAUACAUUUUCAUGUAAUUUCUUGGAAAAACCCACUUUAUUUCAAAUUCUUUAGCUGUUAGCCUUCUUAUUUGUAGGAUUAUCUUCUGAAUUUGUUCUUCUGAGUAAGCUUAACCUAAUUUCAGAUUCUUUAGAUGUUCAUUUAUCCCCCUUCUUUUAAAUUAGACCUUCUUUUACAACUUCCACUUCACAAAUUACAAGUCACCAAAACAUUUUUACCUAAGUUUUUGCUAAGUAUAAUCUGUGGGUUUGAUCUUUUGGUUAAUUUCAGAGCUAAUGUGGAUGUGGAUGGAAAUAUGGUAAACUUAGGAUUAUGGGAUACUGCUGGUAUUUUCUUUAAAAUCCAAUAUUCAAUGAGUGCAUUGUACAGAAUUUGUUACAGGAUAUUUUGGGUAAUUAAUAAUUAUUUUCAUGUGAUUUAUUAGUAAUGUUAGUGGUGUUGUGAAGGUUCCGGAAGGACAUUGUUGGGUAGAAGGUGACAACUCAGCUUCUAGCUUUGAUUCAAGAUCAUUUGGCCCCAUAUGUUACCUUUAUAUUUGAUUAAUUAUGAUACCAUUUUGAAAUUUAACAUUUGUGGUUAUAUAGGAUUCUUUCCAUCAAGCUUGUUGUCUGCCACAAUAAGUCCGAUCACUAGAAUUGUUUUAAAGCUAACUCUUUUGACAACCAUUAGUAUGGAGUUUUUAUAUACAUCAUAUUGAUAUUGAGAUUCUUUUUAUGUAGAUCUGGUCUUAACUCCAGACUUUGUAUGGAAAGAUCGCUGGCAUGGUGCUGUACAAUGUUGGUGGAUUCUUGUUGAGGAUUCAGAGAAUGAUCAUAUCUACCACUCGGAACUUUUUACUUUGACAAAACGAGCAGCAAAAGGUGAACCACAUAAGCUUUCCUUCACUGUGCCAAUUUUUGAACCACAUCCUCCUCAAAACUACAUUCCUGUUGUUUCUGAUUCUUGGUUGCAUUCUAAGGCUUUCUAUACUAUCUCUUUUAAGAAUUGAGCCCUACCGAAGAGCCAUACGGCAUACACUGAACUUCUAGAUCUGAAGCCACUUCCUGUGACAGUUAGUUCUCAGCUUCUGGAAAAUGGGUUUUUGUUGGAGGAGGAUUUGGAUGCUCCUCCUGGGCAGCGUUAUAAAAUGAAAGUCGUCCCUACCAGUAAGAACAUAACUUUUGGUGUUGCAGUGUAGAUCCGGUUUUGAAUUACUAAUGUUGGAACUUCAAUUGUUGGUGUUUGUUUUUCGUUCUGCGACAGCCUAUAAGGCUCGAUAUCAAGAGGAAGCUUGCUCAAAGAUCAGAAAGAGUAAAAUCGGUGGACCUGUAUCCUACGGAACCAUGGGGUGUGACAGUUUUAUUCUUCCUGAUGAGCGACGAAUGACACACAAGAAUUGGGAGGAUCAGGACACAUGAAGGAAAAGAAACGAACAUGAAGCAUACAAAAAAAAUUGUUAAUGACCCCCUCUCCCUAGUCAUGCAAUCAUCCCCCACAAACUAAGCUUAUUUCCUUUUAUUAUUCUUUGAUCGAUGACACAACAAUAACAAUGUAUCGAUUUAGUUAUCAAUGGUUAU